rnacentral:lncRNA from 1 species
CAAGACUUCUUUCAAUGUGAAUUCCACCUUAGCGUUUAAUAUACGUUCUUCCAACAUCCCUUUCAAAUUUGUUGCCGCUUCAAUAUCAGAAAGUAGCUUAUAAGCAAUUGAUUUGCUCUUAUCUUUUGUCUCUUUUGUUUUUUUUGCCAAUGAUGCUGAGGUAUCCUUUACAGGCAAUUCUUAUGAAGCUACCUCUCGAGCCUUGUCUC